rnacentral:rRNA from 1 species
GGUGAACGCUAGCGGCAGGCCUAAUACAUGCAAGUCGAACGGGAUUUGAGUAGCAAUACUUAAUGAGAGUGGCGCACGGGUGCGUAACGCGUAUGCAACCUACCUUUAACAGGGGGAUAGCUCCGAGAAAUCGGGAUUAAUACCCCAUAGUAUUAUUGAUUGGCAUCGAUUAAUAAUUAAAGCUCCGGCGGUUAAAGAUGGGCAUGCGUGCCAUUAGCUAGUUGGUGAGGUAAGGGCUCAUCAAGGCGAUGAUGGCUAGGGGUUCUGAGAGGAUUAUCCCCCACACUGGUACUGAGACACGGACCAGACUCCUACGGGAGGCAGCAGUAAGGAAUAUUGGGCAAUGGACGCAAGUCUGACCCAGCCAUGCCGCGUGCAGGAAGACGGCCCUAUGGGUUGUAAACUGCUUUUAUCAGGGAAUAAACCCCCGGAUGUAUCCGGGGCUGAAUGUACCUGAAGAAUAAGCAUCGGCUAACUCCGUGCCAGCAGCCGCGGUAAUACGGAGGAUGCAAGCGUUAUCCGGAUUCAUUGGGUUUAAAGGGUGCGCAGGCGGAUUAUUAAGUCAGUGGUGAAAUCCUACAGCUCAACUGUAGAACUGCCAUUGAUACUGAUAAUCUUGAGUAUAUUUGAAGUGGGCGGAAUGUAGCAUGUACCGGUGAAAAUGCAUAGAUAUGCUACAGAACACCAAUUUGCGAAGGCAGCUUACUUAAACUAUAACUGAC